rnacentral:rRNA from 1 species
UACGAAGGGGGCUAGCGUUGCUCGGAAUCACUGGGCGUAAAGCGCACGUAGGCGGAUCUUUAAGUCAGGGGUGAAAUCCUGGAGCUCAACUCCAGAACUGCCUUUGAUACUGGGGAUCUCGAGUCCGGGAGAGGUGAGUGGAACUGCGAGUGUAGAGGUGAAAUUCGUAGAUAUUCGCAAGAACACCAGUGGCGAAGGCGGCUCACUGGCCCGGUACUGACGCUGAGGUGCGAAAGCGUGG